GGAUUGAGUAACGCUAUUUCGAAUAUACUACAGCCUACUUGAAACACCUCUUCGACUGAUAUCUGGCUAAAAUCCAUCCGUCCUGCGAAGAAUAAAUUAACGAUCUCCAGAUCAUUUUUGAAGACUGUAGAGAGUACGAAAUGGCACCAGUAAAGGGGCCAAAAAAGCAACAGCUUGCCCCUAUCCUCAGUAUUCUGUGCGAAAAAAGAAUUCAUACAAGAGCGAAUUGUCGUUUUCAAACAGCAAGAAUAGAAGGAAACUAUACAAUACACAGUUGUUCUUGUUUCAUAGGUAAUAUGAAAUUGAGGCAUUCAGUGGAGCAUUCAAAACUUCAAAAAAAAAUUCA